CAAUAGCGUAUAUUAAAGUUGUUGCGGUUAAAAAGCUCGUAGUUGGAUUUCUGCCGAGGACGACCGGUCCGCCCUCCGGGUGAGUAUCUGGUUUGGCCUGGGCAUCUUCUUGGAGAACGUAGCUGCACUUGACUGUGUGGUGCGGUGUCCAGGACUUUUACUUUGAGGAAAUUAGAGUGUUUCAAGCAGGCACACGCCUUGAAUACAUUAGCAUGGAAUAAUAAGAUAGGACCUCGGUUCUAUUUUGUUGGUUUCUAGAGCUGAGGUAAUGAUUAAUAGGGAUAGUUGGGGGCAUUCGUAUUUAACUGUCAGAGGUGAAGUUCUUGGAUUUGUUAAAGACGGACUACUGCGAAAGCAUUUGCCAAGGAUGUUUUCAUUGA
rnacentral:rRNA from 1 species